CCCCCCCAGCACACAGUGCAAAGUCAUGAGAAAAAGCACAGAACAGAUGCUGGCACGGGGAUGCUCUGAGCGGAUCGUGAGUCCCGGGGCUGUGAUUUGUGCCCGCCAGCCCUAACCAGAACUGGGCUGUGGGGCGAGCAGGAGGCAGCCAUGGCUUUUGGAGGGACAGAUGUGGUGGUUUAGCAGAGAAACGCAUGGGAAAUACCCCAAACCCACACCUCGCUGUGUGCGUCUAGCACAGCCUGUGUCCAGGCAGAGCUGUGAGAGGCAAUCCGCACCAGCACGGCGAGCUGAGCGCAGCUCCUUCUGUGUGCACACCAAACAUCAGAACACGGAAAACAUCCGUGGGGAAGGAACGGUGAGGAGAUGUGAACGGCUCAGGUUUGAAGGUCCCGAAGCAUCGACUCAAUGGGAGGCGCAGGGGGAGAAGUUGAGCGGUUCACCACAGAGCUGUGCGCCUUUGCUCCGUCCUUCUUAAAAUUCACCUCUCCUCUCUGCUUUGCGCAGCAGCCGGCGGAGCCCUGGGGAGCUGGAAAUGCAGAGCUGCAGGGGAUGGGGACAGGCGUGGGGUCCGGCUUUGUGCCGCACCGAGGGCCAUGUCCCCAAAAGAAGAGAUCCGAGCACUGACAGCACUGCUGCCCCGGGCUGUCCCUUCCCCUGCAGAUGUCCCUGUGUGGCUGUCAGUGCUGUGUGUGCACCCCAAACUUCGCCAUCUGAAAGCACGGGGAGCCCAUCUGCCUCCCCACGGUGCGGCUCACAAACGCUUCUUCUGACCCGAGCGAAAGGGAGAUGGGAAGCAAAACCUGUCCCCAAAAGUACCCCAAAGCAACAAGCACAGACCUGCCCACAGGGACGUGGGCUGCUGGGGCUGAACCCACAGCUGCCCCCAGCUCAGGUGUCACACAGGUGGGGACGGAGCAGCCAGCAAAGCAAUGUCCUCAGUGGGCAAGGCGGUGACCACAGGGGCUGCUUGCCCCGAGCUGAGCCCAUCCUUGGCAUCCCCGCAUCGCCUGAUGUAGGGCCACUGUGUCCAGAAGCCAAGUGCCAAGAAACCUUUGGGAAAAGCACACUGCAGGAGCAUUCCCCACACCCAGGAGGUCUUCUGGUUCCCUUAUCCCUAUGGGCACGCACCAAAGCACCACAGCAGCCCACGCUGGCCCUCGAAGUUCCCUUUGGAGAAGAAAGAAUUCACAAAAGCCAGCUUUCCACCCCGGCCCGCGGAGCGCCGAGUUCCUGCCCCGAAAUAUCUCGGCGAGGAGCGCUGCCAGCGGCUCCGUCCUCCUCCAGGACUCAUUUUCCUCUGUUUAUCUUGAAAAUAUUUCUGUGCUGAGGUCCCACCCAGCGGCACACAGCCCUGCACAGCCGCCUCCAGCCGACACACAGCCCUUGUUUAUGUGGAGCGGAGCCGACGGAGCGCAGGGCCGAUGCUGGAGGAGAGCCCCCCCAGCACAGAGCGUCCCGCCCCGCAGCUCCCCGCUCACCCACUGACACACAGAUGCCUCCAGUUGCUGGUUUGGGAGUUUCUCGUGGUUUAUGUGAUAAUAAUGGCAAAGAAUGCUGCGGUUGGAUCUCCUAGAGCUCUGCUGAGAGUUGGGCACAUCCUGGGGUGCAGCGAUGCUCCGUCUCUGGUCCACGGGUGUCUGCAACAACCGCCCUGCAGCGGGCACAGAGUUUUGCAAGAGGCCGUUGCAAAGGUUUCAGUGUGAAUGUGCUGGGCUUCGUGGCAGAGGGCUGGGAUGGGGACCUGGCUGUCCCCUCACCACCCCGCUGCAGGAUCUGACCCCGAUUUGGGGCGCCCACCCUGAGCAUCCCCUCCCCAAACCGCUCCCCCUUCCUGCAGCAUCACGCCGUGCAAACACCCUCAAUCACAGCAACGCUCAAAGCCCGGCCAGCAGGAUUGAGUUACCUGCCCUGGAAGAAUAAAGGAGGCAUUCAGCCAGAGCUUACGCCUUUCCCCCUGCCAAGGCCCGACACCACGGUGACGGUCACACGCAGAGGCACAGAAACACGAGCCCCGGUGACCCCGAUCUGCAUCCCCCCUCCUCCCACCCCACGGCACCGGGCAGAGCGCACGCUUUGCUUUGCUUGCCCGUCACGAGCUGCCUUAUCUUUUAAUAGAACCUUUAAGAGCAGAAGUCAGGCUACCCGGGCACAAAGGCGGCUAAAUCUCCUCCCGGGACAUUAAUCAUUUUUCUUUGACAUGUUUUGCUAAUUAGACGAAGCGUUUCCCUCGAUGGGGGGGGGGGGCUGGGAAAAAGAAAGAAAGAAGGGGGAGAGGUGGAAGAGAGGAAGGAGCAGGGCAGAGGGACCGACGUGUAACGCUGCUCCGUUCUUCGAGCACCAGCUUGCAGGGAGCAGACCCAGCCCACGUGGCUCCAACAUCAUCAGGACGUGGCGAUCACCGUCCCUGGAGGUGCCCCAGGCCGUGGUGGGCACUGGACAGCCUGAGCUGAAGGGGGCAGCCGGCCCAUGGCCACCCAUCUGUGCCUAUGGGUGCGUGAGCUGAGAUGCCCCACGGGGGGAAAACACAGAGGGUGAAGGUUUCUCCCCCCUGUGCAGCCACUGCUCGUGGAUGCAUGGAGCGUCCCCUGUGAUUUCUUAAAAUGCACCGUUUGUCUGGGAUUCCUGGCAAUGCCUGCUGCUGCACCCACAGACAUGGCCUGGCACCCCCACAGCCCACGGCUGAGGGCUCAUUUGGGGCUGUAGAAGGCAGCAGGAAGCCUCUGCCAUGGUGGCUUGUCAAUAGACCCUCUAACUGCAGGGACAGGGACAAGCUUGUCCCGGGCAGGACUGGCUCCUUUUUGCAAGAGUCCAACUCAGCUCCCCCAGGACCCGAUGGUUUUUUUUUGUGGGGAACAGAAUAACCCACAGUGAAAUCGCUAUGAGGACGCACUGAAACAAAAUCCCGACAAGAAACCGCUGCCUGCUCGUGCCCCCCGGCACUGCAGAGCAUUCGCUCCCAUCGCUUACCAGCAGCUCGAACCCAAACCCUCCAUGUGCAAACCUUUGGGGCAGCGCUAUGGGGCAGCGCUGCAGAAAUCAAUCACAGCGCCGCACUCCCUGGGCGCGCUCCUCAUUGCUGCGGGAUGACACACUCUGCCCCUCC
ensembl:lncRNA